ACACGUAUCCACGUAUCAACCCCUCUGCGAAAACGAAGAAACAGAAGGCGUGUUCUGAGUGUGUCGUCGGUUGUCCUAAUGAUGGCGGGGCUCUGCUCCGGGGACACAUAAUCACGGCAUGCGUUCGAGGAAUCGCCGCUUUUUUCCCAUCAUUAGCCCUUUUUAUUAUUUUUAACCCCUUGUACUUCUUAUGUACUGAACCAAUUCUUUCGAUGCUCUCACAAGGAGCGACGAAAAGAUAUUACGAAACUAAAAGAA
rnacentral:misc_RNA from 1 species